UACGUAGGGCGCAAGCGUUGUCCGGAAUCAUUGGGCGUAAAGGGCGCGUAGGUGGCCCGGUCAGUUCGUGGUGAAAGCGCGGGGCUCAACUCCGCGUCGGCCAUGAAUACUGCUGGGCUGGAGCACUGUAGAGGCAGGCGGAAUUCCGGGUGUAGCGGUGGAAUGCGUAGAGAUCCGGAAGAACACCGGUGGCGAAGGCGGCCUGCUGGGCAGUGCUGGACACUGGAGGCGCGACAGCGUGGGGAGCAAACAGG
rnacentral:rRNA from 1 species